AAUAAAAUGGCUGAGGUUUAAAGCGAUAAAUUGUAAAUUUAUUUACGAAGAAAUCUUCUUUUAUUA
rnacentral:tRNA from 2 species